CAACGGCAUGGGCCUGCAGGAAGUUUAGAGGAGGCUCAUGGGAGGUGCUGGGCGAAAUCUUUGAUUGAAAGAGGUAAAAAAUCAAAUAUGAAGAAAGAGAGGAUUGAGAAGUGGCAGCCCUGCCUACCACCUGCCUACCACCUGUCUAUGGGCCAGCAGAUGACUACACGGGCCACGUGUGCGAUGGGCUGGCACCGGCUCGCUGCGGCACUGAGGCGCAAUUCACGCGGCGGGUGCGUGCAGCGUCAUCUCAGCGGAGCCUCAAGCCGCCGCGAUGACUCAACGAAUCAACUUCCGAGGUCCCUUCGACUCUGCCUCGUAUCCGCACUCGAUGAUGCGCCUCCUCGCGCGGACAAAAUUCCAUCUUUGGGGCUGACGACGCCACGAGAAAAACCCCGACGAGAGAUGAACAGCAUGAACUGCGGAGUGGAUACCGAGAGAAGGCGAACGAAGGAGAGAAGCAAACAGCGGAGGAGGUGGCCGCAGUGAGAUGAAAUCAGACCCUGACAGGCCGGGCUGCUCAUCAGAGUGCUCAUCGCGGGAGGUUGCCGGAGCGGAACGGCACGGAUAGCGAAUCGGGGCCCCGCCAUUGAUCUGCGGCCACCCGGGCCGACCCCGUGGCCGACCCGGGCCAGUUCUAAAGAGUGAUGGCCGCAAGCGUCCAUCCGCGUUCAGACUUGCGGCACAUCACUCCCACACGCUCUCUCUCUCUCUCUCUCCCGCACGCUCUCCCCUCCUCUCUCGCCCUCCCUCCCGCUACCGCCACACGCUUUCACGAGAGAGAUUUGUGCGAGGAUGUAAUGCCAAACGCCAAUUCAUCGUGAUCCCCACCACCACCACGGAUCCAUCUCUCGCUCUCCUUUUCUCUCUCUCUCUCGAGUUUAUCAAUUAGAAUAGAAUAGUGGAUGAUACUGGUCCAUCGCAUCGGCCACACGACCUUCUGGGAGUAAUUUAACCCGACUAAAUGAUGAGACGUUGAGUGUCUACACCGGUCCAGAGUUUGAUUAUUUGAAACUAAUGUUGCUGAUAAAUAGGCACUCUCAGAAGGAUGUGUGCUGAAAGUGUAAGUCAGAAAUUAACUCAGCUGGACGGGAAGCUUCUGCCCCCCCCCCUCUUUUUGUUCAAUGCAAUUACGUGCAGAAGUUGAUGAAAAUAGCAGGGUAGGAAUGGGUUAAACAAAUUGGGGCGUUCGGAGGCUUUGUAGGGACUCCUAACCACCCCCUUAAACACUUCCACGAAUAACACAGUGAACGGGCUGGAGGGUCAAUUCUGCUCCGCCACUCGGAAAGGGUAAAUUAGGCCACACCUCUUACCCCGCCCCCCAGCCCCCCUACCCCAGCCCCCCCCCCCAGUGAGUGGUUUGCUCGCUCGUGUAAAUGUUGAUACCGUUUAGAGAGAUCCCUUAGGAGCAGCAGCGGAGGGAGCGCGAGAGAGCGCGAGAGAUCGUUACUGGGGAGAAGGGCUGAUGAGAGGUGAAAGUUCCAGUGGGAGAGAGGGGAAGGGAGAGCCGUGCGUCGGUGUCGUGAUGGGGGGAGGGAGCACGCCCGUGUGUGGGGGAGUGGUGCUACAGCGGUGAGCGCGCUGAGCUACGAACCUGGCGAGCCGAUUUUUUUCGGUAAAGUCACGUAGGUAAAAAAAUUAUAAAAGUAAAAUAAAAAAUAAAAUAAAAAUCACGACGUUUCGGAGGCAACACAAACACCAGUGACGAUUAUCUGACCCGGUCUUUGGUGUCGCCUAGGUCGACUCAACCUCAAAUGAGUGCGGUGUAUAAAUAUCGCCACUGGGGAGACAAAGGCGGUUGGGAGUGGUGCUGGCCACCCACCCCCUCGUGUUGCCGUCCCGGCCUUCACAGCACUUUGCCUCCCAACAGCAAGUUGAGACUAUACGCGGGGUACUUUUGUCUUUGCCUUGCACGUGUGCAUGCGUCGCUGUGUGCGUCCGCGUGACAUACGGCGGAGCGACACCCACACACACACAGAGGAACUCGUGCCUGUGCAUAGGUGCCCGCUCGCUCCCAGGGGGCGCUUCAUCCCGUGCCAAUUAGGCGCGACGCGCGUGCACGUCACGCAGCUGCUUCGGCCUCCGAGACCUAACCCCAUCCCUCAUCUGCCACUCGCUCACUCUCCACUCCCCCCUCGCUGGCCCGCUCGAGAGACAGAGCGAGAGUCUCUAUGAUGGACCGGUCCACAUGGCCACUGCGUCCCAGCAGUCUCCAUGAUAGCGCGAGUGGAGAAGCCAUAAAUAAAACAUCUCAACGCCCUCCGCUUGCAUCGCACACGAGAGUCAGCGCGUCUCGUCAGCCGCGUUUACCCGUGAAGCCGGACUACUAUCACGAGCCACGCUGACCCCUUUCUCUCUCUUUAACCACCUCCCUGCCCCGCACCCCCACCGCCACCCACUGCCCCCCCCCCCCAUCCUCCCCCUCCCAAUGUUAACCACUCCGCCCCCCAAUCAGUGAUAGUGACAGCUGCCCAUCACGACACUAAAGCUCAACUGUUUUUAUUUUUCGAUUUAAAGCUUUC